AGUGAACGCUGGCGGUAUGCCUAACACAUGCAAGUCGAACGGAAGCACAGUAAGAUCUUGCCCUUACGGUUGGCGAGUGGCGGACGGGUGAGACAUACAUCACAUUCCACUUUUUCUGGGGUGAUAACGUAGGGCAGCUUACGCUACUACCUCAUACGAUCUACCGCUGAAAUCAGGGGAUCUUCGGACUUUUCCCGACUCAAUUAGCCGAUGUCGGAUUAGCUAGUUGGCGGGGUAAAGGCCCACCAAGGCGACGAUCCGUAGCUGGUCUGAGAGGAUGAUCAGCCACACUGGAACUGAGACACGGUCCAGACUCCUACGGGAGGCAGCAGUGGGGAAUAUUGCACAAUGGGCGAAAGCCUGAUCCAGCAAUACCGCGUGGGUGAUGAAGGCCUUCGGGUUGUAAAGCCCUUUUGUUGGGAAAGAAAAGCAGCAGGUUAAUACCCCGAUGUUCUGACGGUACCCAAAGAAUAAGCACCGGCUAACUUCGUG
rnacentral:rRNA from 1 species